rnacentral:lncRNA from 1 species
GGCCCUCUUCCUGGAGCAGGUUUCAGCUCACACAAAUCUGCACAAACCCUGGUCAUCCUUAAAGCCCAGCUGAAGCACUCUCAUUCCAGGCAGCUGGCCCUAACGCCCUCAUCUGAGAUAGCCACUCCCUGCUCAUGGCUCCUGACAAAUCUUUUCCUUCCUCUGCUCUCGCACAGCUGAACUUCACAAGAACUUGGAGCAUCCCUUUCAAAUGGAAGGGCCGGAUCCUGCAGAUUAGGAGACUGAGUCCCAAAGAGGGGCAGUCGCUUGCCCAAGGCCAUGUGGCUGUUAGUGUUGGAGUCAGAAUUUGAAGCCAGGGAGGCUGAUCUUGGAACACCUGCUGUCAACAGAAACUUCUGACAAAAUACAGAGGACUGCCAUGCCUUCCGGGGUGUUCUCCCAGAGAUGCCCCUUCUGCUAUCCUGCCUGUGCUGCUGCCCUGAUCAUUACUGCAAAUGGCUGGAUUCAUCUUUGUCAAGUUUGCACUUUCACCAAAGUUUGAAUUAACGUCGACAUUAAUUUGCUGAUGAAGCGCCUGCAGUAGGUCAUAUAGCGUGAGCACCUGUGAUUUCCAAGGAAAUUAUUGUAAUGUGCUAAAUGGGAGAUUUAAAGGUUAGUUGUUCCCCUGC